rnacentral:rRNA from 1 species
GAUGAACGCUGGCGGCGUGCUUAACACAUGCAAGUCGAACGGGAAUUAUUUUAUUGCAACUUCGGUCGAUUUAAUUUAAUUCUAGUGGCGGACGGGUGAGUAACGCGUGGGUAACCUGCCUUAUACAGGGGGAUAACAGUCAGAAAUGGCUGCUAAUACCGCAUAAGCGCACAGAGCUGCAUGGCUCAGUGUGAAAAACUCCGGUGGUAUAAGAUGGACCCGCGUUGGAUUAGCUGGUUGGUGGGGUAACGGCCCACCAAGGCGACGAUCCAUAGCCGGCCUGAGAGGGUGAACGGCCACAUUGGGACUGAGACACGGCCCAGACUCCUACGGGAGGCAGCAGUGGGGAAUAUUGCACAAUGGGGGAAACCCUGAUGCAGCGACGCCGCGUGAAGGAAGAAGUAUCUCGGUAUGUAAACUUCUAUCAGCAGGGAAGAUAGUGACGGUACCUGACUAAGAAGCCCCGGCUAACUACGUG